rnacentral:rRNA from 1 species
CCUACGGGGGGCAGCAGUGGGGAAUACUGGGCAAUGGGGGAAACCCUGACCUGGCGACGCCGCGUGACUGAAGAAGGCCCUAGGGUUGUAAAGGUCUUUUACCCAUGAAAAUAAUGAUGGUAAUGGGAGAAAAAGCUCCGGCUAACUUCGUGCCAGCAGCCGCGGUAAUACGAAGGGAGCGAGUGUUGUUCGGAAUUACUGGGCGUAAAGGGUGCGUAGGCUGCUUUGUAAGUGAGGUGUGAAAGCCUUGGGCUCAACCCAGGAAGUGCGCUUCAUACUG